rnacentral:rRNA from 1 species
UACGGAGGGUGCAAGCGUUAUCCGGAUUUACUGGGUUUAAAGGGUGCGUAGGUGGGUAGGUAAGUCAGUGGUGAAAUCUUCAAGCUUAACUCGGAAACUGCCGUUGAUACUAUCUAUCUUGAAUACCGUGGAGGUGAGCGGAAUAUGUCAUGUAGCGGUGAAAUGCUUAGAUAUGACAUAGAACACCAAUUGCGAAGGCAGCUCGCUACACGAAUAUUGACUCUGAGGCACGAAAGCGUGGGGAUCAAACAGGA